UAUGUUCUCAAUUUAUGUCAUUCAUUCAAAUUGCUCGCGGUUUAAUAAGGGGUUUAUUUCAAAUAAUAUUAAUAAUGACUAUACCGAGUGAGGUCCGCAAACUAAUUUAAGCUCGUAAAUAAUUUUGACAAUGUGCGAAGUCGAUGUGAAGCGUUGUAUAACGAAAAACUGUUUACAAGUCGUAAACAAUUUAUUAGCUUAGAUUGGUGCUCUAUUAAUAUUUUAAUACUUUGAGUACUAGUUCUAACAUUUGCCUAUAACUUUGAUUAAUACGUCAAUUUAUUAAUACAUGACUCUCAUAAACAGGACAAGUGUGUAAAGAAACGGAUAAACUAGAAGUUCUGGAAAAUAUAAAUAAACUCAAAACAUUGGAAGGUAAGGAGUUACU